rnacentral:rRNA from 1 species
CUUUAUUUUAUAAUAAURAAUUAAUUUCUAUAUUAAAAAGUAUAGAUUUUUUUAAAAGACGAGAAGACCCUAUAGAGCUUUAUUAAUUUUUUAUAAAUUUUAUUUUGUUUAUAUUAAAUUUUUAUAUAAAAAUUUAAUUUUGUUGGGGUGACAGAAAAAAUUUAAUAACUUUUUUUAUUUUAUUCAUUUAUAUAUGAUUUUUUUGAUCCUUUUUUAGGGAAAAAAGAUUAAGUUACCUUAGGGAUAACAGCGUUAUUAUUUUAAAGAGUUCUUAUCGAUAAAAUAGUUUGCGACCUCGAUGUUGGAUUAUAAUAAGU